rnacentral:rRNA from 1 species
UACGAAGGGGGCUAGCGUUGUUCGGAAUUACUGGGCGUAAAGCGCGCGUAGGCGGACAUUUAAGUCAGGGGUGAAAUGCCGGGGCUCAACCUCGGAACUGCCUUUGAUACUGGAUGUCUGGAGUUCGGGAGAGGUGAGUGGAAUUCCGAGUGUAGAGGUGAAAUUCGUAGAUAUUCGCAAGAACACCAGUGGCGAAGGCGGCUCACUGGCCCGUUACUGACGCUGAGGCACGAAAGCGUGGGGAGCAAACAGG